rnacentral:lncRNA from 1 species
GCACAGCACUGCUAUGGGGGCAGCACUGCUAUGGGGGCAGCACUGCUAUGGGGUCAGCACUGCUAUGGGGUGAGCACAGCACUGUUAUGGGCUCAGCACUGCUAUGGGGUCAGGCACUGCUAUGGGGUGAGCACUGCAUUGGGGUGAGCACAGCACUGCUAUGGGGUCAGCACUGCUAUGGGGUGAGCACAGGACUGCUUUGGGGUCGGGCACUGCUAUGGGGUGAGCACAGCACUGCAUUGGGGUCAGCACUGCUAUGGGGUGAGCACAGCACUGCUGUGGGGUAGGGCACUGCUAUGGGUCAGCACAGCACUGCA